rnacentral:rRNA from 1 species
UACGAAGGGGGCUAGCGUUGCUCGGAAUCACUGGGCGUAAAGGGUGCGUAGGCGGGUCUUUAAGUCUGUUGUGAAAGCCCCGGGCUCAACCUGGGAAUGGCAAUGGAUACUGGCAAGCUAGAGUGCGGUAGAGGGUAGUGGAAUUCCCGGUGUAGCGGUGAAAUGCGUAGAGAUCGGGAGGAACACCAGUGGCGAAGGCGGCUACCUGGACCAGCACUGACACUGAGGCACGAAAGCGUGGGGAGCAAACAGG